rnacentral:rRNA from 1 species
GAUGAACGCUGGCGGCGUGCUUAACACAUGCAAGUCGAACGGGAAUUACUUUAUUGAAACUUCGGUCGAUUUAAUUUAAUUCUAGUGGCGGACGGGUGAGUAACGCGUGGGUAACCUGCCUUAUACAGGGGGAUAACAGUCAGAAAUGGCUGCUAAUACCGCAUAAGCGCACAGAGCUGCAUGGCUCAGUGUGAAAAACUCCGGUGGUAUAAGAUGGACCCGCGUUGGAUUAGCUGGUUGGUGGGGUAACGGCCCACCAAGGCGACGAUCCAUAGCCGGCCUGAGAGGGUGAACGGCCACAUUGGGACUGAGACACGGCCCAGACUCCUACGGGAGGCAGCAGUGGGGAAUAUUGCACAAUGGGGGAAACCCUGAUGCAGCGACGCCGCGUGAAGGAAGAAGUAUCUCGGUAUGUAAACUUCUAUCAGCAGGG